rnacentral:lncRNA from 1 species
UAUGUAAGAAAGAAAAAAAGAGAUCUUAUCAAAUUCUGGAUUGCAUUCUAGAUAUUGCUCUUCUAUUACAUAUCAUUCAUCAAUAAUAUUUUUAGACAUGUUUCGAUUCCUUUAGACUUUGUUUUUUCUCCUUUUGUUAUAUUAUUCAUCAAUAAUAACAUUCCAUAAUCUUUCAAACAAAUUAGUUGUCAUUACUCAUUACUAACAAAGAAUUGUGACUUCUAUUAGUCUCUUUGUUCCGUAAGAAAGCAAAAUAAAGACCUAUCAAAUUCUGGAAUUGCAUUUUAGAUACUACUCUUUAUUAUAGAUCAUUCAUUGAUAAUAUUUUUAGACACAUUUUGAUUCCUUUAGACUUUGUUUUUUCUCCUUUAUUUGUGUGUUUUCCACUUUGCACUAUUCUGGCUAUAUAUUCUGUAGCUGAUAUUUAACUAAUCGUUUCAUCAUUUUAAAACUGACAAUUUAUCAUAUUAAUAAUAUAGGUUUUCCUACCUUGUUGGAUUUGCAUGUAAAGGUACUGAACAUAAUACCUUUGCUGUUGAUGAGUCACUUAAAGUCUUCGCACAAUUAGCUGUUGGACUUUCAGUUGUUGGCUCCACUUUUCAAAAUUAUUUUUUUUCCCACAUUUGAACAUUGAGGCAGCAAAUAGUUUCCUCAUUGCUCUAAGUAUGCAUUUCUAGAUGUCUAGAAUUUAGGAGUAUAUUAUUGCUUUGGUUGUCAUGAACAAGGUUCGCAAUACCGUACCGUACCGGUGUUUCGACCUGGGCUCGGUACGGUACAGUGUAUCGAGCGGUACCUCCAGGUGUACCAAGCGGUACACCUGAUUUCAGUCCAUUAAACCCUCCAAAAAUACCUAAAAAUAAAAAAAAAGUUAGGACAGGGUUUUCAAGUUAUAAAUAAAUAUAGUAAUAGUAUAAGUUUAGCAAAAUCAAUGUAAAUUAGGUAAGAAUAGUAUCACAUAUCUUUUUCGGGCUUUGAGGUAGUCUUAUUCGAGGUUCGUAUUUCAGCCCGUUAUAGAUUGAAAUAUCUACAGAAAAAUCAUUUGAAUUGUUAGACUAUUUUGUUACAAUAUAAACUCUAAAAUUUAAAUAAAUUAAAUAAUCACAUAUGUAGAUAUACCUGAUUGUUGAUUCUACCACUAAAACGAACGACGGGCCUCCACCCAAUCUAACAUUGGCUUUGAAUCUUCAUUGUAGAAUUGGAGGUCAAUGGAAUCAAUAUGAUUCAAAUAUGUAAUUUUAAUCUAAUAUGAUUUAAAUUAUGAUAAAAUCAUCAUUUAUCUACACUAAUUAAAUGAUUAACAUAGUUAAUUUUUCACUAAUUACUUCUCUUUCAACACUAUAAACAUGACAAAUACCCUAAUAAGUAUUAAAGACAUUGAAUUGAUAUAAAAUCGAAUAAAUUUCGAUUAAAUCAUCAUUAAAAUGACUAAUCACAGCAUUAAAUAACUUUAAUAAAACUUAAUAAAAUUUAUUUUACAAUCAUAAAUAUUAUUCAAUAUUUAAUAUGCAUGAAACACAUUAAUCAUAAUCUUAAAGAUCUUAAUUACUCUCUAAUUAAAGAAAGCGAAUACAUACCUCUUGACUAGAAAGCUCUUCCUCUUAAUCUUCCCAAAUUAACCUCGAUUGAAUUCACAAAUCGUUGUUUUGUAGAGUUUAGAGAGAAAAAAAAAAGUUUGAGAGAGAGUUUAAGAGAGUAUAAUAAAAUAGGAGAGAAGAAUGGCUUAAAUAGAAUGAGAAAGGGCUCCAAGGGUCAAAUUGACCGUUGGAGCACUAUAACACUACUACAGUGCGGUAACGAUCGAAAUCGAUCGUUACCGAGUUUUGCCGGGCGAUAACGAUCGAUUUCGACCGUACCCGAGUUGUGCUGGGCGGUAAUGGUUGAAAUUUCGACCGUUACUGCUCGAUAUUACAUCGUAUCAUCCGAUACGGGGUUUUUUUGAAUGUAUCGCCUGGUAGCGGGCAAUCCGCGUACCGGUACGUACAGCUCGUACUAGGCGGUACAAUUUGGUAUUGCAGACCUUGGUCAUGAAUAUAGAAAUUCAGAAAAUAGAUCUUUCUGAGAUAUUUUUUUUCUGCUGUUAUGUAGUCCAUUCUCUAAUCUUAUAUAGAAAAUAUUUUAUUGAUGUCAGUCAUCUAGAUUUACGUGACAUGCCAUAUUUAGUAAUUUGUGCAUCUCUGUGUAUUUGCCUCGUUCAAGAUUCAGAUUGUUCAUUGUACCAACAACAACAAGAAGUGAAGAUAUCAUGGGUAGCUACUAUCAUUUUCUAAAAUGUUGUAUGAUUGGUUAUAACCAUUGGGUGUCAUACAAUUUCAACAAUGGUGACUUAGAUUUAUUUACUCUCAAGUGUUGGUGCUAUCAGUUUUUUGGUUUUGUUAAUGUUGUUCUAAGCUAGGAACUAGGUCAGAAAUUUUUUUAAAAAAAUUGAAGAGAAUCUCAAGAAGUAAGAAAUCAUGAAGACAAAUGUCCAUCUUUAAAUAUUUUUAUGAUUUUN